CCUACGGGAGGCAGCAGUGGGGGAUAUUGCACAAUGGGGGAAACCCUGAUGCAGCGACGCCGCGUGGGCGAAGAAGUAUUUCGGUAUGUAAAGCCCUAUCAGCAGGGAAGAAGAGAUGACGGUACCUGAGUAAGAAGCACCGGCUAAAUACGUGCCAGCAGCCGCGGUAAUACGUAUGGUGCAAGCGUUAUCCGGAUUUACUGGGUGUAAAGGGAGCGCAGGCGGCACGGCAAGCCUGAUGUGAAAGCCCGGGGCCCAACCGGGGGACUGCAUUGGGAACUACCGGGCUGGAGUGCCGGAGAGGUAGGCGGAAUUCGUAGUGUAGCGGUGAAAUGCGUAGAUAUUAGGAGGAACACCAGUGGCGAAGGCGGCCUACUGGAGGGUGACUGACGCUGAGGCUCGAAAGCGUGGGGAGCAAACAGGAUUAGAUACCCGAGUAGUC
rnacentral:rRNA from 1 species